rnacentral:rRNA from 1 species
GACGAACGCUGGCGGCGUGCCUAAUACAUGCAAGUCGAGCGCAGGAGGCUGACGGAACUCUUCGGAGGGAAGGCAGCGGAAUGAGCGGCGGACGGGUGAGUAACACGUAAGGAACCUGCCUCAAGGAUUGGGAUAACUCCGAGAAAUCGGAGCUAAUACCGGAUAGUUCAACGGACCGCAUGGUCCGCUGAUGAAAGGCGCUUCGGCGUCACCUUGAGAUGGCCUUGCGGUGCAUUAGCUAGUUGGUGGGGUAACGGCUCACCAAGGCGACGAUGCAUAGCCGACCUGAGAGGGUGAUCGGCCACACUGGGACUGAGACACGGCCCAGACUCCUACGGGAGGCAGCAGUAGGGAAUCUUCCACAAUGGACGAAAGUCUGAUGGAGCAACGCCGCGUGAGUGAUGAAGGUUUUCGGAUCGUAAAACUCUGUUGUAAGGGAAGAAUACGUACGAGAGGGAAUGCUCGUACCUUGACGGUACCUUACGAGAAAGCCACGGCUAACUACGUGCCAGCAGCCGCAGUAAUAC